GUCGCCGAUGGGUCGGGAAAGCCGACUAUCCGGCCACAUUUGUAGUCGGCGAUUAGUCGGCGACUAGUCGGCAAAAAGGGCCGAUUAGUCGGCACUUUAUUAGUGAAAGAUAAAAAAGAAAAAAAGAAAUCAAAAGUCAAUAUUUAACAUAUGUUUUCUGUCUAUUUUACUAAAAUACCUCUUCAGGGUGCAUACAAAAACUUUUUUUCAUAUAAUUGACCGUUUGAUCGUUAUCGUAUGUUGGUGAGCUGGUGUUUUCUUCUACAGGGGGCCGAUUUUUUAAAUUCGACCGCUCGAUUUCUUGUAAUUCGUUCAAUAAUAUCUCCACUACUAGGCAUUUAAACUCUACUAAUAGAAUAGAAAACGAGUGGUCAAUCUCAAUACCACUAGAUUCCCAGUUUAUAUCGCUCGUAUUUCAAAAAUUAGCAUUUCACCGUUUUCCACCGAUUUCCGAGUGACGAAAUCGAACGAUCGAAAUUCAAAAUUCGGCCCUCAGAGACGAAUUUAUAAUAAAGCCUGGCAUACCUCGUAUAAAGCUAAAUUAUUUUUAAAUUAAUUGCAUGUUCCUCGACACUCAAAGAAUUUAAUUUCCAACCUUUUCGCACCUUGUCACAGUGACCAUCAAUAUGAAAGUCGCUAGAGAUUCUUUGACUGUACCUCAUACUCAAUUUUCAAAAAAAUGCCUUACUUUUUAUUGGUUGCUUACUAAGAUAUGCUUAGAUUGAGACAAAAAUAUACCUACCACUAAGUUUAGAGUUGGAGCAAAAGUUUUGGUACAAAAAAGUUAAUUUUGAUUUAGACACAAAUAUUACACUGUUUCUCAUUUUCGCUACUCAUUUAAAAAUGACAUAAUAAAUACGUAUUUACAUUUUUACAAUAAAUCAAAUCACUUGGGUUAGUAUGCGCAGUUGUUUAUACGACAACGGUUUCACUCACUUGAAUUUUUAGUCGCUAUUGGCGACAUGUUUCGGGCCCGUCGGGGGUCCUUCCUCAGGCUCGAGUGCUCGCGGCGGCUGCAACUCGUGCACUCACCAACCGUUGUCGUAUAAACAAUUUAAAACAUGUCUCACGAAAGUUUAAUAUCGAUUAUGCGCAGUUGAUUCUUUAAAAUGCAAAUAUAUCUUUUAAUUUAAAACUAUAGGACCGUUUAACUGAGACAGAUGUCUACGGUGUGGUUAAAUGUGCUAUACAGCCGUACAGAUGUAUUGCAUAAUUGUUUUCCAUCGUAUUAUCUCGGAAACGUUCGUAUUUGUCAUGCUACUUCAGUCAACCUCAGUACUUUUUGUACCGAGACUGACUGAAAUAGCAAGACACGUUCGUACGUUUCCGUGAAACUACGAUCGAAAAUAAUUUAUGCACUACAUGUAUUCGAAAGGUGUAUAUUACGCUUCUGGUACUUAACAAAUUUAAAACUUAUUAUGAAGCUUGAAUUAAAUGUUUUUUUAUUAAUAUUAGAAGAUCGAAUAGAAGGUCAGACUACCUAAUGGAUGUUUUUUACCCUUAGCAAUACUUUGCGAAGUAAGUAAUUAUGAACUACAUCUGUAUUUACUCUGUCUACUUAAUCAGUAAGAAUCAUUUCUUAUUUCAAAUCCACUUAUUCCAUUAUAUUUUAUUAUUAUUAGUAAGUACAUUUACUAAGAAAUUCACGAUCUACAUAAUUACGUACGAAUAUAUUGUCGAAUAGAGGAACUUGCUCAUUACAUACUAACAUCCACCAAAGACAAGCAAAAAUAAACACUGACAAUCUUAUAGCAAAGUCACUCAUCAUUGUUGUAGAUGGAAAGAGGCAAUCGCAGUGUUGCAUUAGUAUAUUUUAACUCUCAGGGAGCUCACUAGAUGGCGCUCUGCUUAAUUUCUAGUUCUGUGCAAGUGGCUCCAUCUAUAACAAUAACGCGGAUUUGAAUGUAGAAUGUCACUUUUUAUUUUUAAUGUACUUUAUCUCUGCUCUCUCCUAGAGUGUUUUCACAUCGUCCGAUCCUAUAUCGGAUACGACCAGCAGCGACCACAAAGAAGCAAAAUAUGAAAAGUGCCUUUUUUAUACAUUUAAUAGGGUAUUACACUGUAUUUAAAAUAAAUUAUUUUACACCAUGCAUGGUUGACUGCACCAGAUAAUUAUUAGAAAAACACAGAUAGAAGUUAUAUUUUAAACACAAGUUCUAUUUAAUAAAUCGGAUAGAAAUAUAAAAAGUAGGUGAGUUGACCGUGACGCCACGAUGUAAUGUUUCAUAUAAAUUCCAUAUUAGCAAAUCGUUUUGACAGUUCUAAAAAAGUAACUGAUUUGACUAGUAGGAAAAUACCCUAUUAGGUAUUAUUUGUUCAAAAGAAAGGAUUAAUGCCAAAAUAAAAGAACUGAGGGCAUUUUCUAGCAGCUUUUUUUCUCCAAAGGUAAUUAAUAUGACAUUCGAUAUGGGUUCGGACAAUGUGAAAACGCAUAAAGUUACCAAACUUAAUACAUACUUAAGUUUGAUUUCCUUUCA